GUGGGGAAUAUUGGACAAUGGGCGAAAGCCUGAUCCAGCCAUGCCGCGUGUGUGAAGAAGGUCUUCGGAUUGUAAAGCACUUUAAGUUGGGAGGAAGGGCAGUAAGUUAAUACCUUGCUGUUUUGACGUUACCGACAGAAUAAGCACCGGCUAACUUCGUGCCAGCAGCCGCGGUAAUACGAAGGGUGCAAGCGUUAAUCGGAAUUACUGGGCGUAAAGCGCGCGUAGGUGGUUGUGUAAGUUGGAGGUGAAAUCCCCGGGCUCAACCUGGGAACUGCAUCCAAAACUGCAUGACUAGAGUACGGUAGAGGGUAGUGGAAUUUCCUGUGUAGCGGUGAAAUGCGUAGAUAUAGGAAGGAACACCAGUGGCGAAGGCGACUACCUGGACUGAUACUGACACUGAGGUGCGAAAGCGUGGGGAGCAAACAGGAUUAGAAACCCGAGUAGUCC
rnacentral:rRNA from 1 species